rnacentral:SRP_RNA from 1 species
GCUGGGUGUGGUGGUGCACACCUGUAGUCCUAGCUACUUCAGGAGGCUGAGGUGGGAGGGUCACUUGAGCCUGGGAGGUCAAGGCUGCAGUGAGCCGUGACCAUGAUUGCACCACUGCACUCCAGCCUGAGCAACAGAGCCAGACUCCAUCUCUU